rnacentral:rRNA from 1 species
UACGUAGGCAGCGAGCGUUGUUCGGAUUCACUGGGCGUAAAGGGUGCGUAGGUGGUGAGGUAAGUCGGAUGUGAAAUCUCCGAGCUCAACUCGGAAAUGGCAUUGGAAACUACCUUGCUUGAGGGUUGGAGGGGGACUGGAAUACUUGGUGUAGCAGUGAAAUGCGUAGAUAUCAAGUGGAACACCAGUGGCGAAGGCGGGUCUCUGGGCAGUAACUGACGCUGAGGAGCGAAAGCGUGGGGAGCGAACAGG